rnacentral:tRNA from 1 species
GGAACCGUGGUGUAGUUGGUUAACACACCGGCCUGUCAAGCCGGAGAUCGCGGGUUCGAGUCCCGUCGGUUCCGCCA